CCAUCUCCCCUUCUUCCUCUCUUUUCAAUGUCCAAGUGUUGGGCGUCCCAUCUUCUCACAUGCCCAAAGGUGAGGGUGACUGCUUCUACAUCAAGAACGAGGAGAAAGGCUGCUGUUUAAGUGUUGAGUUAAGAUCAAAGGUUGAUCAAAGGUUCAAAAGGCUGAGAUCUUACCUAGAGAAGAAGGAUCUACAAUGAGAAAAAGGGUUCAAGAUUAAUUUUGAUGGAUACCUGUAGAGGCCUGACAUGGUGCGGCUCAAGAAC
rnacentral:lncRNA from 1 species